AUCGUCAAAACUUUAUCAACCGCAGUCGUUUAGAUAAAUUCAUUGCAGCCGUUAUCAUCAGUUCGUUGCAGUCAGUCGUUAUGAUCACUUCGUUGCAGUCAGUCGUUAAGCGCAGUUCUUUUACAAUUACGAUACUUAAGACUUAUAAUCUUGUUAUUCAUUGUAAAUUUCCAUCACCGAUUUUAUACCAAAUAAAUCAAUUCGUGAAAGUGAAGACAAAGUGUCGAAUACCGAGCAUCGCUUCGCCCUAUUAUUCCUCAGUUAUCGCUAACAAGAGGGAAUCAAUUCAAGGGUCAGUAGUAGGAACCCUCGAAAGAAAUAAUGACGCGAGAAAUGAUGUUCGGAGCCGCUCUCAUCAUUUCAUCGAAUAAGUAAGAUAAAAUAAAUCUUUUCUGACGCAGUUUGACUACCCUAUUGAGAUGGAAAAUAGAAAAAAAGAGCUUCGCUUCCGUGCAAAAUUCCGAAAGGAUUGACCGAAAAAAUGUCGCGUGAUUAGGUCGGUGUAAUCGGAUGACUGCAGAAACUUCGAUUACUCUACACCCAUUCAAGACUCAACUGUUGACGUCACAAUAUAAAUAAGUGGCAUUACCUGAUAUCGAUACAACAGAAGUCUACCCUAACAACGGUAGUUGAAAAAAUACUACCUUUAGUAAAGUAUAGUUAAUUAGUUGAAUUGACAUCUUGAUAACAUACCCGUCGAAUAUACGCCUGACGAUAUACAAACAGAAAUUAUCUAUCUGCGAUUAUCUACGAGAUUUUUCUCCCAGCGUUAUUUCGUCAUGGUUUCUUCUGUAUUUAUAGUACCUUCUCAAUUAUUAAUAUCAAUUAAACUUUUGUCUACAUUCACACAAUUAAAGGAGAAGUAUAUAUAAAAACCUAAAACGAAUAAAUAUUGGAUUUAUAACAUAUUCGUCAUUCCAGAAUGAC